UACAGAGGGUGCGAGCGUUGUCCGGAAUCACUGGGCGUAAAGGGCGCGUAGGUGGCGACCCAAGUCGAUGGUGAAAGCUCGCCGCUUAACGGCGAGUCGGCCACCGAUACUGGGUUGCUCGAGCACUGUAGAGGCUAAUGGAAUUCCGGGUGUAGCGGUGGAAUGCGUAGAGAUCCGGAAGAACACCGGUGGCGAAGGCGGUUAGCUGGGCAGUUGCUGACACUGAGGCGCGACAGCGUGGGGAGCAAACAGG
rnacentral:rRNA from 1 species